GAUACCCUAUUAUUUUAAAUGUGAAUUUUUUGCUUUGAUUAUUAUUAGUUAUGGUCUUAAAAAUUAAAAAAUUUGGCGGUAUUUUAGUCUGUUCAGAGGAACCUGUUUUUUAAUUGAUGGUCCACGAUAAUUUUUACUUUAGUUUUAAAUUUAUAUAUCGUCGUUUGUAAAAAUUUUAGUAGAAUGGGAAUUUUUUUGAUUUUUAUUAAAAGUUAUUUCAGAUCAAGGUGUAGUUUAUAUUAAAGAUUAAAUGGGUUACAUUAAAUUUAUUUUUAGUUUCAAUGUUUAAAAUUUUGGAUAAAUUGGAUUUGAUAGUAAAUUUUUUAUUUAUGAUUUUUGAUUUAGCUCUAAAAUAUGCACACAUCGCC
rnacentral:rRNA from 1 species